rnacentral:rRNA from 1 species
UACGAAGGGGGCUAGCGUUGCUCGGAAUCACUGGGCGUAAAGGGUGCGUAGGCGGGUCUUUAAGUCAGGGGUGAAAUCCUGGAGCUCAACUCCAGAACUGCCUUUGAUACUGAGGAUCUUGAGUACGGGAGAGGUGAGUGGAACUGCGAGUGUAGAGGUGAAAUUCGUAGAUAUUCGCAAGAACACCAGUGGCGAAGGCGGCUAACUGGUCCAGAUCUGACGCUGAGGUGCGAAAGCGUGGGGAGCAAACAGG